GUAUUUACAAAAGAAAAAAAGGUGCCCUGGAGGUUGAACAAACAAUCUAUGCAGAAGUGGACGAGAACAUCAAGCCACGGAAGUCACUGGAGAUGUUGGGGAAAUCAGCGAAUUCCCAGACAGUGUAUGAUACUGUAGGAGAUCCAGGACGAACUGAUGCUUCCGUCCACACUCAACCUGUGAAACAGAGUUCAUCACUUUCAGAGAAGAGCGAGUCAGAUGCGCCAGUCACUAUCUACUGUUCCAUUCAGCAGCAAGCUAACCCCCCAAAACUGAAGCUGAAAACACUGUUUAUGCUGUGGUCAGUAUCCCGCCAGCUGAUUAUGAAUCUGAACAUCCACGAUCAGAAUAAAAGUGAAUGAAUGAAAAGAAUAAAACUUAAAGCAUGUGUUCAGGAAGGGCAGUGUAAAUGAGCAGCAUAUUUACCAUGUGCAAUGUGCUCACAUUGUAGUUGAUUCGUUGUGUGUUACAGAUAUUUGUAUAUGUAAAUUCUGUCUUUUUUUAAAGCAGCAAUGUAUUUUUAUUGUAAAAAUAUUGUACAUGAGGCUUCAGGGCCGCCCUGAAAUAUGUGAAAAAUGUCCCCCCUUCCUGAAAUAAAUUAUAUAUAUAUAUAUAAUAAAAAUAGAACUUUAAUUAAAUAGAAAAGUAAAUAAAUAAUUUAAGAAAUUACAGUUGUAGCUCUCGACAGUUACUUAAGGCUAUCACUUUAUUAAUACAGUUUAAAAGAAAAUUAAACAGAUUCACUAUGAUAAAACCAUGGUUUAUUUCUUUAAGGGUUGUGAUAUCAACAUGUUUUGAAGAAAUGAUAGGGACUGUGUCAUCUAUAGCAAAAAAGGUGGUCAAAAAUGAAAGAUUGUGAAUAUUUGUGAUUAUUUGUGAUUAUUUGAAUUAAAUGUUUGGCCAGUAGCUUAAAGAAGGAUUUGAUCGUCCUGUAAGUGUAACAGCAUCAAUUAUCUUUUGGCUCCCUUUGUAGGUAUUUGUAAUAACAUGUAAUUUACAUAAAUUGUUUAUUUUGUUUUAGCCUGCAUUAUGUAUUUUAACAGUAUUAUUACCCAAUCAUUAUUGCCUCAUUGUUUUUUUGUAGAAUGCACUUUAAGUCUUUUAAAAGGCUAAUGAUGGCU